AAAAGCAGAGGACUGUCUGGCUUGCACAUGAGUCUGAAGCCUUUGCUGGAAUGGGCAGUGCCUGUCUGGCAGCGUCUGACCGGGGUGCCCUGGGUCAUCUGCCUCUGAGUCUCUCUUUCCUUCUUACUGCGCAAAGGGUUGGUUGGGAUUCUUCACUCAAUGGAUCCUUUUGAUGGAUUAAGAACCGUUAAAGCCAUCUAGACUGUUCAGGUUUGAGGAAGAGCUGGGAGUCAGUGCUUCCACUGUGUUUCUCUUUAUCAGAGCUGCAUGCUUGGAAACAUGCAUAGAGAACAGUUGCCCUACACUCUGCUGCUAUAAUGGG